AAAAUGUCACACUCACUUCACGGACUCACCUUAUUUCCAUAUCCAACAAUUCAACCCUUCUCUCUCCAUCUCUCCAAUGGCUUCUCACUGCACUCUCUCACUCUCACUCACAUUCCUCUUCACCUUGAUCACCAUCAAUGCUUCUUCACUCUCACCAACAACCACACCCACAACAACAACAGAAGCAGAUGUUUUGUUAACCUUCAAGUCCACCAUUGAUGACCCAAUGAACCACCUUUCAUCAUGGUCCAACACCACCACUAUGCACCACUGCAACUGGUCUGGUGUCACCUGCACAAACACAACCACAAACACUGUUAUCUCAUCUCUCACACUCAAAAACCUUAAUCUUUCUGGUGAAAUCUCACCCUCCAUUUGCCAACUAACUAAUCUUGUUACACUUGAUUUGGCUGAUAACUUGUUUAACCAACCUAUCCCACUUCAUCUUUCUCAAUGUUCAUCUUUAAAGACUCUUAAUUUAAGUAAUAAUCUCAUAUGGGGUACCAUCCCAGAUCAGAUUUCACAGUUUACAUCUUUAAAGUUUCUUGAUUUGAGCAAGAAUCAUGUUGAAGGCAAGAUCCCAGAUGGGGUUGGGUUGUUAAAAGAUCUUCAAGUUUUAAACUUUGGUAACAAUUUGUUAUCAGGUAGUGUCCCUAAUGUUAUUGGGAACUUUACAGAGUUGACUUUUCUUGACUUUUCUUUAAACCCUUUUAUGCAAAGUGAGAUUCCAAGUGGUAUUGGGAAGCUUGUGAAGCUUGAGCAGCUUUUGCUGUCAAGAUCUGGUUUUUAUGGUGAAAUACCAAACUCCAUGGUUGAACUGAAAGCGUUGACCAUCGUUGACCUGUCUCAGAACAAUCUUACAGGUGUUUUACCUUCAAGAAUUGGGGAUUUGUUAAAAAAGUUGGUGUCUUUUGAUGUUUCACAGAAUAAUCUUUUUGGGUCUUUUCCAAAUGGGAUUUGUGAGUCCACUGGGCUUGCUAGUUUAAGCCUUCAUACAAACAGUUUUGAUGGGACAUUAGUCAAUACUUCUGUUGCUAACUGCUUGAAUCUUGAAAGGUUAGAGCUUCAGAACAAUGGGUUUCAUGGUGAUUUCCCAACUAACUUAUGGUCAUUACCGAAAAUCAAAGUUAUUAGAGCCGAAAACAAUCGGUUUUCGGGUGAAAUCCCUGAUUCCAUAUCAGAAUCUUCUCAACUAGAACAGGUUCAAAUAGAUAACAACAGUUUCAUUAGCAAAAUCCCUCAUGGUCUAGGUUUGGUUAGAAGCUUGUAUCGAUUCUCCGCUUCUCUUAACGGUUUAUACGGUGAACUCCCACCGAACUUUUGCGAUUCGCCUGUAAUGAGCAUCAUCAAUUUUUCCCAUAAUUACAUCACAGGUGAAAUCCCAGAGCCAAAAGAGUGUAAAAAGCUAGUUUCUUUAUCUUUAGCAGAUAACAAUUUCAUCGGUGAAAUCCCCGAAUCGUUAGGUGAUUUGCCUGUGUUAACUUACCUUGAUCUUUCACAUAAUAACCUCACUGGUGAAAUCCCACUUGAGCUUCAAAAUUUGAAACUCGCCCUUUUUAAUGUAUCAUUCAAUAGGCUAUCGGGUCGGGUUCCUUCUUUGUUAAUCGCAGGCCUUCCUGCUUUAUACAUACAAGGAAAUCCCGAUCUGUGCGGGCCCGGGUUGUCAAACCCGUGCCCGAACGAUGAUUCGAGACGAAGAACAGGCGUGUCGAAACUUGCUUGUGCGUUGAUCUCUUUAGCUUUAUUAGCUGGGAUACUAAGUUUGGCAUUUGGGUAUUUCGUUUUCCGUAGAUCAUCAAUCCAAAAUGUUGAAACGGGUACUUGGAGAUCCGUUUUCUUUUACCCGAUUCGAAUUAGUGAACAGGAUUUGAUAAUGGCAAUGGAUGAAAAAGCCUCUAGAGGUAGUUCUGGAGUGUUUGGUAGAGUUUACAUAGUAAACUUGCCGAGUAAUGAACUCAUAGCGGUGAAAAAGAUGCCGAAUUUCCGAAACCAAUCUUUCAAAACUUUGAAAACCGAAGUGAAGACGUUGGCGAAAAUCCGACACAAGAACAUAGUUAGAAUCAUGGGGUUUUGCCAUUCGGAUGACUCGAUCUUUUUGAUCUACGAGUGUAUGGAAAAAGGGAGUCUUGGUGAUCUGAUCAGCAAAGGAGAUUUUCAACUGUCAUGGAGUUUUCGCUUGAAAAUCGCCAUUGGGAUCGCGCAAGGACUCGCUUAUCUUCACAAAGAUUAUGUUCCGCAUUUGCUUCAUAGAGAUGUUAAAUCAAAAAAUGUUCUUCUGGACAUAGAGUUUAAUCCAAAGCUUACUGAUUUUGCAUUGGACAGGAUUUUAGGCGAAAACGCGUUCCAAUCAUCCUUGGAUUCAAAAUCCGGAUCUUCGUGUUACAUGGCACCAGGUAUACAUACAUUAUACAACGUAUAACGAGUUUAAUGAAUCUUUACAGUUUUAGUGUUUUUCAUGUGGUGGCGUUGGGGGGCAAAAGUGAAAGUGCAAUAAUUUUAACGUUAUUUUACUAAUUUCGUGAAAAUAACGUUAAAAGCCGAGGACGGUUAAUCAUGCCUCAUGUGGUGGCGUUGAUAGCUGAAAGACAAAAGGGUACAUGCACUAAACGGUCUUUGUCCUGAUUGCUGUUGAGUGUUAUGUGCCUUAUGUCCAAGGCUUGAUGCAAAACUACUAUCGAGCCGGGGGUCUCACUGGAAGCAACCUCUCUAUUCCUACGGGGUAGAGAGUUGGGGUACAACAAAAAGGCGACAGAACAAACGGACACAUACGCGUUUGGAGUGAUCUUAUUAGAACUUGUGACAGGACGAGGAGCCGAGCCAACGGACACAAGUGAAGACUCUCUUGAUGUUGUGAAAUGGGUAAGAAGGAAAGUUAACAUUAGUAAUGGGCCGGUUCAAGUUGUUGACGUGAAAAUCUCAAGUUGUUACAAACAAGAAGCUUUGGGGAUGCUUGAAGUAGCUCUACAAUGCACGUCGGUUAUGCCGGAGAAAAGACCUUCCAUGAGUGAAGUGAUGGCAGCCCUUCAAUGUCUUGGCUCCAAGACUCGUGUUUCUACUUCCUAGUCUUGAUAUGUCGGUUUAAGCGUAUGUAAAUUAUCGAGUUUGCAUCGUUUUGUUUCAUGUUUAUGAUCACACUGUGUGAUAUGUCAAAAGCAUAUAUGAUGUUGGUGUUCACGAAUACUCGAAUGGGAUCACAAGAGAACGAGCCACACAUUUAUAUGUGUAAUGGUUUACAAUAGUUUAGGUUGUUUGGAUGCAAA